rnacentral:ncRNA from 1 species
UUCGAGCGUGGGGGCUGUGAACUGCGGGCGGCAAAUCUGGUCGCCAAACCCAGAACCACAGGGGGAACGCCUGCAGGGAGCCAGUGGCGAAACCGACCACCACGAG